rnacentral:rRNA from 1 species
AUGCUCACAGACAAGGUUCGGAAAAACCAUGAAACUGUUGUCAGAAUACCACAAAAAGUACAUCAUAUCAGAAACCAGUCUUGGGGACUAACCCAGAUGCAUGAAGUGACUCUACGUCGCAUAAUGUUGGUUAGACUAGCCAAGAGCAUAGAUAUGGACACGAAAUCCAUUACCAUCGGUAAAACGCCAAUUCCUAUAACAAAAGAGGACGUGCAAGGUAUAUUUGGCAUUCCGAUAGAAGGGGAGGAUAUAGAGGCACAUCUGGAAAAUCAAACCGACACAGAAUUGUUUACCGCCUAUGCAAACAAUGGGCAAAUUUUGAUUUCUGACCUUGAAACGGCGAUCCGAGCUUCCAAAGCCCCAGACGGUGAUUUCCUGAGACGGUUCAUUUUGUACGCAAUUGGUACUGUUCUAGCACCAACACCACAACAUUACGUGGACUCGAAAUAUCUCAACCUUGUUACAGAUCUUGAAAACCUUCGAAAAUUUAACUGGGGAUGUUUCACACUUAAUCACUUCUUCAAGUCCGUUCACAAGUUUAGAAAUCGAGAUCACGUAAAUCUACAAGGAAAUCUAAUUCUGCUCCAGUAUUGA